UCUAAGGAGACAUGUUCACUCUAGGGUGAGCAUAUCCUAAGGUCGAGCAAUAUCGAGAUUCGAAGAUCGAAGUUCGAGACUCGUAUACCGGUAUUGUGGUGGGUCUGAAUAGACCCCAAAUGCCGAAAAGGCAAAGCAGGGUAACCUGCAAAACGAGAAAUGAACUGUUUGAGCGCAAGCUACUUGUUGUUUAGUUUUGAGGGACCAGAGAUGGGAACUCACUAUUUUUUUGACCAAAUCCAAGUCGUAAGGAUUUACUUUGUAGAAAGUGAAUUUUUGUUACAAAAGAGAUGGACAGAACAUCCAUGUUCUUUGAAAACUGCACAGAGAAGAAAUAACUGUAAAUUAGGAAGACAUCUAAAACCUAGAAGUGGCGGCGCAAAAAUGUUUGGUCAAGCUACUAA
rnacentral:misc_RNA from 1 species